rnacentral:rRNA from 1 species
UACGUAGGGGGCUAGCGUUGUCCGGAUUUAUUGGGCGUAAAGAGCGUGUAGGCGGCCAUGUAGGUCCGGUGUGAAAACUCGAGGCUUAACCUCGAGAUGUCAUCGGAAACCAUUUGGCUAGAGUCCGGAAGAGGAGAGUGGAAUUCCUGGUGUAGCGGUGAAAUGCGCAGAUAUCAGGAAGAACACCGGUGGCGAAGGCGGCCCUCUGGACGGUGACUGACGCUGAGACGCGAAAGCGUGGGGAGCAAACAGG